rnacentral:rRNA from 1 species
GACGAACGCUGGCGGCGUGCUUAACACAUGCAAGUCAAACGGAAAGGUCCUGCUUUUGUGGGGUGCUCGAGUGGCGAACGGGUGAGUAACACGUGAGUAACCUGCCCUUGACUUUGGGAUAACUUCAGGAAACUGGGGCUAAUACCGGAUAGGAGCUCCUGCUGCAUGGUGGGGGUUGGAAAGUUUCGGCGGUUGGGGAUGGACUCGCGGCUUAUCAGCUUGUUGGUGGGGUAGUGGCUUACCAAGGCUUUGACGGGUAGCCGGCCUGAGAGGGUGACCGGCCACAUUGGGACUGAGAUACGGCCCAGACUCCUACGGGAGGCAGCAGUGGGGAAUAUUGCACAAUGGGCGGAAGCCUGAUGCAGCAACGCCGCGUGCGGGAUGACGGCCUUCGGGUUGUAAACCGCUUUCGCCUGUGACGAAGCGUGAGUGACGGUAAUGGGUAAAGAAGCACCGGCUAACUACGUG